AUUGAACGCUGGCGGCAGGCCUAACACAUGCAAGUCGAACGAGUGGCGGACGGGUGAGUAAUGUCUGGGAAACUGCCUGAUGGAGGGGGAUAACUACUGGAAACGGUAGCUAAUACCGCAUACCAUCAGAUGCGCCCAGAUGGGAUUAGCUUGUUGGUGGGGUAACGGCUCACCAAGGCGACGAUCCCUAGCUGGUCUGAGAGGAUGACCAGCCACACGUGAACUUGGGAACGGUCCAGACUCCUACGGGAGGCAGCAGUGGGGAAUAUUGCACCAUGGGCGCAAGCCUGAUUCAGCCAUUCCGCGUGUAUGAAGAAGGCCUUCGGGUUGUAAAGUACUUUCAGCGGGGAAGCUUUACCCGCAGGAGUAGCACCGGCUAACUCCGUGCCAACAGCCGCGGUAAUUC
rnacentral:rRNA from 1 species